GACGGAGGAUGCAAGUGUUAUCCGGAAUCACUGGGCGUAAAGCGUCUGUAGGUCGUUUAAAAAGUCUACUGUUAAAAAUUGAAGCUUAACUUCAAAGAUGCCGUAGAAACUUUUAAACUUGAGUAUGGUAGGGGUAGAGGGAAUUUCCAGUGGAGCGGUGAAAUGCGUAGAUAUUGGAAAGACCACCAAUGGCGAAGGCACUCUACUGGGCCAUUACUGACACUGAGAGACGAAAGCUAGGGGAGCAAAUGGG
rnacentral:rRNA from 1 species